rnacentral:rRNA from 1 species
UACGGAGGGGGGCUAGCGUUGUUCGGAAUUACUGGGCGUAAAGCGCACGUAGGCGGCUUUGUAAGUUAGAGGUGAAAGCCCAGGGCUUAACCCUGGAAUUGCCUUUAAGACUGCAUCGCUAGAAUCGUGGAGAGGUGAGUGGAAUUCCGAGUGUAGAGGUGAAAUUCGUAGAUAUUCGGAAGAACACCAGUGGCGAAGGCGACUCACUGGGACACGUAUU